rnacentral:lncRNA from 1 species
UUAUUUUUAGUGAGACUGAAAGCUAAUAGGCAGCUGCCAGCAGUGGAGUGACAGGAUAGAGAAACAACUGUAGAGGAGCAAGAGAUGAUGGUGACUCAGACCAAAGUGGAAGCAGUGGAGGUGAGGAGAGCUGGUCAAAUUCCAGGCAGUACCUGAAACACAUUCAUCACAGUCAAAAGGAAGUGAAGAGACACAGAAGGGAAGCAAGAUACUGAGAUGCUGCCAAGUAUCCCAGAGUCCAUGAUGGAGUAGAGAUGAAACAAUAGACCCAGGUCAUUCCUCUGCUGGAGGUUCUGAGGCAAGCAGUAGUGCUCUGCAGAUGAACAUUCAUGACAACUUGCCUUUCAACUGGAGGUGUGUGACAGCCAGAAAAAUACCAUCGAGGGCCUCUGAAGGGACUGCCUCUCCAAGGAGCC